ACAACAAAUGAAGGAACCUUUACGAAGUUCAGGAAAAUAGAAAAUAGGAAAAUAGCAGUUCCUUCUGUAAGGAGUUUCAGGGGUGCGUCUCAGAUUUCUGUGAACCUUGGACGCUGAUGGAUUGUCCGUGGGGAGAGUUAAUGAAGGAUUGAGUUUGGGGGCUUUCGGCUGUCACCUUCAUUUUUCACAUUACUAUAGUGAGAGUCAAGACAGGAAUUUUUUUGCAAGCCUUAAGACACCCAAAGGCUGUGGCAUUUGGGGAAAAGGGCCUGGAUUUCUCUCCCAAGUACAGCACACCUGUCAGAACAGCUCAAGGUAUUGGAGAGAUGGCUGCAGCUCUAAAGAAACCUCUUGCUCAUCCAUUACCAGGAGAACAUCUGCUGUACAGCAUGCAAAAAUGUGUGCCGCCUGACUACAAGGCCCAGAGGCACUGGCACCAGCAGCCACGUGGUCCUUGAGCUGCUGUCGCAUUACCCGGCCAGUGUUCCUGAUGUUCUCUUCUGCCUGGGAGGGCUGGGGGGGUCUCUGAAACAGACCCACUGGAGAAAAGAACCGUGGAGACUCGUGACCCCCACUUCUUCCCUCACUGGGCAGUGCAAGAGCUGUCCAUGGAAACUUGGGACCCUGCUCACCCAGAGCCCCCUCAGUAGGACUCUCCUGGCACCCGCAGGGCCCCAAAAGCUUUUGUCAGUAUGCCCACCCUGGCCUGGCUUUGCACACAGUUCCAAAGAUGGCCAGGGCCAAAGAGGAACUGCUGUCCCGCACCUUGGCCGCCUUGCGUGAGAACAGCAGUCACUGCUACAGUCUACAAGCCAAGAGGAUGCUGACGGGAGACUUACAGAAGGCCAACCAGCAGCCCUCGCAGAACACCGGCUGGGAUGUGAUUUCACAGCCCAUCGGAGCAGAGAUAACUGGGACUAAAUGUUGUCCUCUCAGCUGAUGGGUGGGGGCAGUGUCCUACACUGCACAGUGGCUCUCUCUCUUCAAGCUGGCAUUGAACUCGCUGUGUAGCUCAGGCUGGCCUCAAACUCGCAGCGAUCCUCCUGCCGCAACCUCCCAAGUGCUGGGCCUGAGUAAUACUCCAUGGGGUGUGAAUGCCGCACUGUCUUCACCCCCUCAUCUGCUGAUGGACAUUUGGUUGGUGUUGGUAUCUGCUGAGGUCCUGGAACCAUUCCCCACAAGUGGCCCACCCAACCCACAGAAAUAGUGAUUCUGGGAACUCGGAUAUGCAGAAGUUAAAAGAGGCGUCCUGGAGAUGCCGGAUGGACCUGGGAGAGGACACCGGGUGCGGUCAGCAUCCGCGGCCCCAGCGCCCGUGGGCGGAGCCUCAGCCGGGGCGGGGCCCUCACCAGACAACCGGGAAGAGGAUGGCACCGCAGCAUAUGAGGACGUACUUGACGAAGGCCCAGCCUGAGCCGAUCAGGGCGAUGGUGAUGAACAGGAGCGCGCCCUUCAGCCUGGGGGCCAGGAGGGUCUGCUGGGGAGGCCGGGAGCCCAGC